rnacentral:lncRNA from 1 species
UUGAACUAACUUUGCUUGAACUUUGCUUAGGAUGUAACUAUGCUUUUGGACUCUUGACUUGAAUUCAUUGCGAAUUUUGAUGAAGUGUGUGGAGAUUGUUUUGCAGGGUAUUUCAAGACUUCGAGACUCUAUGUCGUGUCCUAAGUCAUAGAGUUUGUAUUAGGAUGAGAAAAAUAUAAUUUUGUUAUUUUGUUUUUAUUGGAUCGAUCAUGCAGAAGGUUGUUGUUUGGUGAUUGCAAUAACCUUCUUAUUUUUGUUUGUGGAUAAGCAUUGUAAAUUCUUUUUGUAUUUUGUCACGAAAUCGCCAAAGGGGGAGAUUGUUAAGGAUUUUAUAAGUUGGCGAAUUUCGUGAAGUAUUGAAUGGAGUCUCGAAGAAUUAGAAGAUGAAGAUCGAAGAAAGAGUUGAAGUCUUGUAAUCAAAUACCCUUGAAAUCUCAGGUAUGAUUAUAAAUAAUUUGUGGUGAGUUUUUGUUAAAAAUGUUUAGAAGACUUGGUUUUUAUUUUUGAGAGUCAAAACUAAAGUUUUCAAAAAUUUUCAGGGGUCAGGGACCGGU